rnacentral:rRNA from 1 species
AACGAACGCUAGCGGCAGGCCUAACACAUGCAAGUCGAGCGAAGCCUUCGGGCUUAGCGGCGGACGGGUGAGUAACGCGUGGGGACGUGCCCUUUGGUACGGAAUAGCCCCGGGAAACUGGGAGUAAUACCGUAUGUGGUCGAGAGACGAAAGAUUUAUCGCCAAAGGAUCGGCCCGCGUUGGAUUAGGUAGUUGGUGGGGUAAUGGCCUACCAAGCCGACGAUCCAUAGCUGGUUUGAGAGGAUGAUCAGCCACACUGGGACUGAGACACGGCCCAGACUCCUACGGGAGGCAGCAGUGGGGAAUCUUAGACAAUGGGGGAAACCCUGAUCUAGCCAUGCCGCGUGAUCGAUGAAGGCCUUAGGGUUGUAAAGAUCUUUCAGUGGGGAAGAUAAUGACUGUACCCACAGAAGAAGCCCCGGCUAACUCCGUGCCAGCCGCCGCCGUAAUAC